rnacentral:tRNA from 1 species
GGGGGCGUAGCUCAGUUGGUUAGAGCGUCGGCCUGUCACGCCGAAGGUCGCGAGUUCAAGUCUCGUCGCUCCCGCCA